rnacentral:rRNA from 1 species
UACGAGAGUUUUUAACUCAAGUGGCGGACGGGUGAGUAACACGUAAGAAUUUGCCUUUAGGAGGGGGAUAACAAUUGGAAACGAUUGCUAAUACCCCAUAUGCUUUCGAGUGAAACGGAUUUUUUCCGCCUAGAGAGAAGCUUGCGGCUGAUUAGCUUGUUGGUGAGGUAAUGGCUUACCAAGGCGACGAUCAGUAUCUGGUUUGAGAGGACGAUCAGACACACUGGAACUGAGACACGGUCCAGACUCCUACGGGAGGCAGCAGUGGGGAAUUUUCCGCAAUGGGCGAAAGCCUGACGGAGCAAUACCGCGUGAGGGAUGACGGCCUAUGGGUUGUAAACCUCUUUUUUCAGGGAGGAAUCAAUGACGUGUACCUGAAGAAUAAGCAUCGGCUAACUCCGUUCCAGCAGCCGCGGUAAGACGGAGGAUGCAAGUGUUAUCCGGAAUCACUGGGCGUAAAGCGUCUGUAGGUGGUUUAGUAAGUCAACUGUUAAAUCUUGAAGCUUAACUUCAAAAUCGCAGUCGAAACUAUUAGACUAGAGUAUAGUAGGGGUAAAGGGAAUUUCCAGUGGAGCGGUGAAAUGCGUAGAGAUUGGAAAGAACACCGAUGGCGAAGGCACUUUACUGGGCUAUUACUGACACUCAGAGACGAAAGCUAGGGUAGCAAAUGGGAUUAGAUACCCCAGUAGUCCUAGCCGUAAACAAUGGAUACUAGAUGUUGAACAGAUCGACCUGUGCAGUAUUAAAGCUAACGCGUUAAGUAUCCCGCCUGGGAAGUAUGCUCGCAAGAGUGAAACUCAAAGGAAUUGACGGGGGCCCGCACAAGCGGUGGAGCAUGUGGUUUAAUUCGAUGCAACGCGAAGAACCUUACCAGGGUUUGACAUGAUACGAAUUUCUUUGAAAGAAGAAAGUGCCGUUUGGAACGUAUAC